rnacentral:rRNA from 1 species
CGAAGGGGGCUAGCGUUGUUCGGAAUUACUGGGCGUAAAGGGCGCGUAGGCGGUCUGAUAAGUUAGAUGUGAAAUUCCCGGGCUUAACCUGGGGGCUGCAUUUGAUACUGUCAGGCUUGAAUCCAGGAGAGGAUAGUGGAAUUCCCAGUGUAGAGGUGAAAUUCGUAGAUAUUGGGAAGAACACCAGUGGCGAAGGCGGCUAUCUGGACUGGUAUUGACGCUGAGGCGCGAAAGCGUGGGGAGCAAACAGGAUUAGAUACCCUGGUAGUCCACGCCGUAAACGAUGAGUGCUAGACGCUGGUAGGUUUACCUAUCGGUGUCGCAGCUAACGCAUUAAGCACUCCGCCUGGGGAGUACGGUCGCAAGAUUA